AGACAGCGAGACCGCGUGACUAAUAAGUGACGUGGUCCCUCCGCAACAAUGAAUACUUUCUUAUCAAUAAUCUUCUUCUCCUUUAGAUCUGCAAUUCUGCUUCUUGCGAAAACCAAACCCUAUCUUAGGUUUUCAUCAAAAUUUGGUUUUAAUGGAAGGUAAUGCCUUCCCUCGCUACUUCAGACAUCCUAUCCGAAAUUUAUUGCGAAAAAACGUAAAGAAAUCCUCAUCUUCGUCAUCAACCUUACAAUCGUCGUCGUCGUCGUCGUCGUCGAUCUUACAAUCGUCAUCGUCCUCUGGUGCUUCUUUACCAGGUAAAUUCGUAUGUAUCUGUGUAUAUACAGUCGAUAAGUAUGAGUGGUACACUUUUGAUGUCUCCGAUGAUAUUCGACACAACCAAACUCCUCCUCCUGCUAAAUACAUUAACUACCGUGUUCCUUUUCACGAUGACGAUGAAUCCGGACUUGUAAAUCUCAAACCUAAAGUCACUGCCAAUAUGGAUUGGAUUCUAGGUUGGUCAAUUUUGGGUUUGACAUUAUAUAUUCUUGAUGAUUGGACUGGUGAUUGGAGAGGAUCGUCUGUUAAAAACGAAAGCAAUCGAGUGGAUCGAAUUGAUCUAGUUAGUACUAGGUCGAAAUGGGAGAGAGUUCCUCAAAUGCCUAAUCAGAUUGCUGUGUUGGCUCAUACUUUUGUUCUUGCCGGCAAGUUUUAUUGCCUGGGUGGGUUUCGAUCCAAAAAGGGAGAGUUGGAGAGGGAAUCGCUGUUUGCCAUGGCUUACGACUUGAGCGUAAAAGCUGGUGACUCGUUACCGAGCCCCCCAUGUAUUAACCUUGAUGAAAUAUUCUCAGGAGCUAAAGAGGUCCCCAACCCAUGUUUUCCCUCUCAAAAGAUGGAUUUGGAGAGGCUGUCACUACGGGACAACAAAUCUUCACUAGAUGAAGAGGGCACCAACCCGUGUUUGCCCUCUCAAAAGAUAGAUUUGGAGAGGCCGUUAUCGUUCCCCAUGGCUCCCGACGACAGUCUAUUUGGCUCUACAUGGCUUGAAAUAAGCCCAGCAGGUGAAGAGCUCGGCAACUCAUAUUCUCAAAACAUGGAGUUGGAGAGACAUAAACCGUGGGUCAUGGCUUACGACCCGAGCCUAAAUACAUGGGAAUCUCUACCUGACCCUCCAAGUUGUCCCGUUAAGGUUGACAGUAUAUUCUCAGCCGCUGGAGAGUUCCCCAAUCCAUGUAUUGUGGUGGGUUCACCUGGGGAUGGUCUCCAAAUCUACCAAGUAAAUGCCAAAAAGUGGGAAAAACAAGAGUUUAAAAUAUGCCCAAAGUUUGGCCCAAAUGUGUUAACAGGGCCAGCUUUGGCUGUUGACAGUAAGUUGUAUUGGUAUUCAGUCCAUGAUCUAAGCCUAGUUGGAUAUGAUUUAGUGACGUCAAUGUGGUUUGUGGGCAAUUUCCCUAUCCAUGACCAUGGGGAGCAUUUUGGAGUACGAGAUGUUGACACUCCUCCACGCUUGGCUCAUCUAGGUGGCGACAUGUUUUGCUUGUUGUGGGUUUCUGUGUUGCCGCACAGGCGUAUGAAGAUUUCGGAGUCCAAAGAUGACUAUAUUUCUCGCCUUCACUGUAUGAAGCUUCGAGUUACCACUGAAAACUUUCACCCAGUGAAUGGAAUUAUUCCCUUGGAGGUCUCUAUCCUGUCGUGCCAAUCUUACUUGGCUUCUGGAUUGAAGUUUUUCCGUGGUGGCUUGGUGGUUGAUGCUCAUUCAAGAUACUUUCAUGCCUGACAACAGUUGGUGGGGGAGAGGGCUGAUAAAGUAGGAUUCUUUCAGAACAUGUUUCCAUGUGUUUCUGGCAGCAGUUCACAGAUUUUUUUUUCCUUGUGAUUCUUUGGCAUUCAUCAUCUCAGUUGUCCAAUGCACAAGGCUGGCUAUUUUAUCAAAGUCCUUCCCUGCUGGCUAGGUUUGAAGAGCCUUUGAGGCUCUCCAAAGAGUACAUUGAACCUUCUGUGAAAUCCAGCUGCAUAAAAAAGCAAUUCCCUUCCUCAAGAUCUCUGCAGCCCAAGCCAUUUCAGAAGAGCACCUCCCUCCUUUAGAUUCGUCCAUCAUCUCUCCCCGAUCAAGGUAUGGAACACCAUCUCUCUCCUCCCCCCCUUUAUGCAACCCAAAAAACCCUUAAUUUCCCUUUCUCCGUCUCCUCACCUCCCCAUCCUGAAAAGUAUUGAAAGAUCACGAAGUGGAGAAUCAUCUGUAUAGGGGGUUGAAUUUACUGUGGUGCUUGGAUAUUGAUGGAACUCCUUCCCCAUUCUGAGUUUCCCCUUGGACUUUCUCUGCAUCUCCGUCACUGUGUACAUGUCAAACCCAUACCUAUCUACAACUCUCCCAUCUCCUUGGCACAUUGUCAAGGUGCGCCCAUCCAAGGGUCAACACGUUGAUGCCACACAUAUUUGUGUCCUUUGGGAGAGCCAAAGACAUGCCUAAGAAGUUGUUGGUGCAAGUGCAAGCAAUGGCCCAAGGCAUUAUGCAAGAUAGUCGAAGACAUGCCAUGAAGCAAGCUAGCCACCAAGUAACAACUUUAGGCCAACUUUUAGAGGGUCAAAUGUAAUCUUUUUGCCUUGUAAAUUUUUAUGUAAAUACCUUAGUAUUAAAGGUGUUUUGAGUCCAAGAGUUGUAAUUUUUCUAUUUUUGUAGAAUUAUUAAAAAUCCAUUAUGACUCCUCAAACAUAGUGGAUGUUUCCUCCUGCCAGCUAGGAAAUGACUUAACAACCUAUAUAUAAGGAGGGGGUACCCAAGUGUUGAAUCAGACCACUUGUGCCUUUAAUGUACUCCAACCUAGCUUAUGGUAAGGCA